rnacentral:rRNA from 1 species
UACGUAGGGGGCAAGCGUUGUCCGGAAUUAUUGGGCGUAAAGCGCGUGUAGGCGGCUUGGUAAGUCUGGUGUGAAACCUUGGGGCUCAACCCCAAGCCUGCACUGGAAACUGCCUCGCUAGAGUCCGGGAGGGGAGAGCGGAAUUCCUAGUGUAGCGGUGAAAUGCGCAGAUAUUAGGAAGAACACCGGUGGCGAAGGCGGCUCUCUGGAACGGUACUGACGCUGAGACGCGAAAGCGUGGGGAGCGAAC